rnacentral:rRNA from 1 species
GAUGAACGCUGGCGGCGUGCAUGAGACAUGCAAGUCGAACGAAGGAUCGGGCUUGCUCGAUCCUUAGUGGCGGACGGCUGAGUAACGCGUAGGUGACCUACCCCGAAUUGGGGAAUAACUGCCCGAAAGGGUGGCUAAUACCGCAGGUGGUCGCACGUUCAUUCGUGCGAGUAAAGCUGCAAGGCGCGUCUGGAGGGGCCUGCGUCCGAUUACUUCGUUGGUGGGGUAAUGGCUUCCCAAGGCGACGAUCGGUAGGGGGGCUGAGAGGAAGAGCCCCCAGACUGGGAGUGAGCCACGGCCGAGAAUCUUCGGGGAGGCAGCAGUCGGGAAUUGUGCAAAAUGGCGGAAAGGAUGAAGCAGCUCCGCCGGGUGAGGGAUGAAGGCGUUCGGGUUGUAAACCUAUUUUGUCAGGGACGAUGAUGACGGUACCUGGCGAAUAAGCCACGGCUAACUACGUG